rnacentral:lncRNA from 1 species
AUGCACGUGGCUGGCAAAGAGAAGGGAGCAUGAAGCUGUCAUUUUGAACAUGCCUAGUCGCAGAGAUGCAUGCGGGGAGAACUCUAUGUGAAGGUGAAGGCAGAGAUGCUUCAUUAAGCCAAGGAAUGCCAAAGGUGGCCAGCAAACCACCAGAAACCAGGCAAGAUGCAUGGAACAGAUUCUGUCUCGUAGCUCUCAGAAGGAACCAACCCUGCCAUCGCACAUUGAUUUUGGACUUCUGGCUUCCAGAACUGUGUGAAAUGGAAGAAAAUAAUUCUAAAAUUUGUAUGGAACCACAAAGACUGCUAAUAGCCAAAGCUAGUUUGAACAAGAAGAACAAAGCUGGAGGCCUCACACUUUCUGAUUUCAAAAUAUAUUGCGAAGCUACAGUACUAGCAUAAAAACAGAUGAUAAACCAAUGGGUAGAAUAGACAGCCCAG